AUGGUACGUACAAGUCAUAUAACCAAGUUGGACAUAGUUCGUCUACACCGGAAUAGCUAUACCACCAGAGAUAUCAGAGCAGCUCUUAAUUCCAAAGGCAUCAAAGUUACUCGUCAAGUAAUUGACUACUGGGUUCAACAGUAUCGUCUAGGGAAGUUUACCGACGAGAUUACCUGUCCUUCUGCAACAAAGGUGAAGACUAUGAAGACGCUAACAAGAGCUGAUGUACAGUUUGUUAAAAGAACCUUAUCAUCAGAACCUUGCACAUCCAGUCGAACUCUUCACAAAAGGCUUCUUCUUAAAGGGUCUAAGGUCAGUCUAUCUACCACAAAGAGAGCCAUAGUCCACGCAGGUUUCACGUGUACCAAACCAAGGUAUUGCCAGAUGGUACGACAUGUCAACAAAGAGAAGAGGGUAGCAUUUUGCAAGAUGCUAGUAGAGUACAAUGACCAGUUCAAUGACAUGAUAUUCAGUGAUGAGUGUACCGUUCAGCUCCAUCAGAAUAAGGUGUACAUCUACAGACGAUAUGACCAAGUCAGACCAUCACUUCCGAAACCAAAGCAUCCGCUUAAGGUUCAUGUGUGGGCUGGUAUCAGCAAAAAGAGGCGCUACACCCAUCCUAAUAUUUGA
rnacentral:sRNA from 1 species